GCGUGACCCCAGGAUGGGCGGGGUGACCCGCUGAGUUUAAGCAUAUCAAUAAGCGGAGGAGAGGAAACUUACAAGGAUUCCCCUA
rnacentral:rRNA from 1 species